GAUAAUUAAAUAUCUUAGGUGUUUUUGAAACUAGCCUGGCCUGUUAAGACUUUCUUACAGCCUUUUGGCAAUAAAAAAAGAAGUGACAGUUGUUAAUGGGUAGGUCAUGCUUUUGCAAAGAUUAGUUCACUGUGUAAGGAUGGUGGCAGUUUAUUAACAAUCACUGUAUGUGAGGGGAUGUAAGAGAGCUCAUUUAAAGUACAGGGCCUAUGGGACCACACACACUCUGGCCAUUACAUACUGGCCUUUACACACCUGCUGCUGUGUGAUUCACACUAAAGCACCUACAGAGCACACGUUUAGGCAGGAGAAUGUGCGUCACUGCAACAGGAAAUAUGCAAGCCUGUGCAUGUGACACCAUGGGGACCCCACCGGUGUGGAGGACACUGGAGGCUGUGCUAGCUGAUGUGUUUCAGAUCGCCUCACUUGUCAGCUUUGUAACUGAAGGUAAUAGGAACUUCACCCGGUUUACAUUGAUGUGAGGUAAGUCCACCCAACUGGACGUGCUUUGCUAAUGAACCAAUGGCCCGUUGCGUCUUCUAAUAAAUCAUGAAUUAAGUGCUGCUCCACAUGGAGGCUGUGACUCAAGCCAGCAUGUUCAUUGACCUGUGACAUGGUGCUGGCUAGAACCGAUUGCAGGAAACCCACAAACUGCAACUUCCCUUUCCCUGGAGUUCUGGGGGGAAUUUCACAAAGCAGGAUUACUUAGCUAGCUGGAUAACUGUGCUGAGUAAUAUCCGGGCUGAAGUAAAAAGCUGUUCUGGGUUUUACUCAGCCCAGUUAUCCAACUAACUCAGUAAUCCUGCUUUGUGAAACAGCCCAGGACAUAGGUGUGUCUCAAGUUAGCACUAUGUUUCAGGUAACAGUCAUUGUUUUCUUUUUUCUCUUAAACAUACUGGCCAUUCCUCUCUAUUUUGGUUCAUUCACCUGUAAAGGGCUCAUCAGUAAGCAGGCUGAGUACACAAGCUGUUUGUCUGUUGGAUCUAAAUAUACUAAGAUUAUAAAGUGAUGUGUGCGUCUGGCUGAUUGGAGAUAGCAGGAAGCCUUGGCUGUAUGUAUGCUGUGAGGGUGAGCUCAGGUCUGGCUGUGUGGAGGAGAUGAAUGUACUGUAGGAAUGCAAGGCUUUCACAGAGCCCGUAUUGGUAUGCAGCACACGAGCGUGACUGAUUCUGCUGCUCGCCAAUAAAAUCCUGUCUGUGAGGCAAGCGGCUCACCUCACCUGACUCUCCUUUCCCGCCGCCGGAGCUUGCACAGGACCCGACACCUCCGCGAUGCCUUUUUCUAAACCUGCGCCCUGGAUUUUUGAAUUUAAAAAAAAGAGGUGGUCUGUGUGUCCAGCUUGUCCUGAUGGAUUUGUCUCCUUAGAUUUAUGUGCUGUAUGUGGGUAUUAAACAAAUGCAGGCAACAAAUGCUGAAUAAACUCGGUGAACUUUGGGCCUCCCCCUGCUCUGUGUCUUUAUGGCGUCUCAGGAUCCUGUAGGACCACUGAAGGGCAGCGUGUGCGUAUGGGCCCAGUGCACUGAGACAAAUCCAAUCUGCUGCACUGCUUCAUGACUGCUUCACCACACCCCUCCAGCUGCUUAAUACAGUGACUGCUGUGGUUUAACAUUUCAGAAACCAUUUAUUCGGGUUUGUGUUUCUGCUUGAAGUGCAUUUCUUAUGGCUAAGUUGUGCUUUGCUGCUCUGUGACGCAUCUUUGUGACAGUUCUCUGUAAAAAGCGCUAUACAAAUAAAAUUGAAUUGAAUGUGCAUUUGUUAUGUUUUCAUUGUGAAUUGUUCUGAACUUACACUCUUUCCCCACAUGCACGGUCUUUACACAUCCAGGGCUGCACAUAUGUCCAUAUUUCCAUGUCCAGUUCAGCUUCCAAAAUAUUCAGAUCAUCAUAGUUUCACUGGAAAAGAUCUGUAUGGAAGAGGAACCAGGAGUGAGUGGGUUAGGUGUGGUCCCAGUGAAGAUUCAGCAAAAUAAAGAAAUUAUGAUUAUGGUUUUCAUUAACAUUAAUAUACUAAAUAUAACAUUUCUGCAUAAUUACAUAAUUGGUCCUAAUUACUAGCAACAAGCAGUGAGGUUUGGAAAAAAACUAGUGGUUUUUUCCAAAGGGCUUUGUCUGUUUCUAGUUUUCAUGCCAACUCCUGUCCUUAAUUACUUAAUUAGCCGUAACAUUUACAUUAUCUGACUCUUUAGCUACAUUUCUUGAUAAGCGCAUGAAUGACAGCCGAAGACUGUUUCUAUUUUUAUGUCUCUGUAUGAAACAUUUUACUGUGUUCUAAUCCAUGAGUAAACCAGUGUUGGUGUACACAGCCAAUUAGCUCAUUUGUCCAGGGUAAUUGGUGGAAACAAAAACCUGCAUACACAUCGGCCCUCCAGGACUAGAAUUGGCAUCACCUGGGGUAGGAUGUACACUUGAAGGUAAAGAAGUUCUAUGACGUAUCAUGAACUUUUGCCACGGGAUAUUCUUCCAUGAGGGAAACAGAUAAGCAAGAGAAGGACUUGUAAGCUCGACUCAAGGAUACUGCCCCUGACUGGAAAACUCAUAGGAUGAGAUAAUUUGUGAAGGCCGGUUGUGAUUGUGAGCCUGUGGAGGCACACGCUCAGCCCAUGGUCGUUGAGUUUGAGUACGGGACAGCUGCUGCAGGCGGGGUGAUGAGGUGGGCCGUAUCGUGCCAGCUGAAACCCUCCCAGUCUGCGGGAUACCACGGUCAGUAUUGGCACCAUCAGGAUUGGUGCCUUCAUGGAAAGGACCACUUGAAGAGACCCAACAUGUACAUUAUUCCAUUGGUUGAUUUGAUUUGUUUGGUUCAGAUGAACAAGUGCCCAAAGACCUAGAACAGCUUUAAUAGGCGGCUCAAGCCUUUGAGGGACGGUACAGAAACUGAGCACACAUUUCAGAAUGAGGCGGGCAGGUUUGUGUGGAGAUACGCUUAUGUUAAUUUGAACUGAACAUGGAAGAUGAUAUUAACAAGGUAUUAACCGGAUUAACCUGACAUGCAGAUUAAAGUGAGUCCUCCUAAAUCAGAUGACGGGUGGUGGUAUCAGAGUCACAGUGAAAUGUACUUCCUCUGAUACAUGGUAAUUAAUUACUCUUAGUUUGCAUUUGGUUUACAUCUCUAAACUGAAACAUUUUCAGAGUAAAUGUGUGGUUUUUGCCUCCCUGAUCUCGCACAUGCAUCUGUGGUUUAUGGGCUACUUGCAUAUGUUUAUUUCUCCUCUACACAAACAUUCUACCUUCAUUAUAAACCCGCUUAUAACAAACAAACUGCUGUGUGUGCGUGACUGAACCUCCCACACCCUGGGUGAUACAAUCGGCAUUUACACAUCGCCCUAUGAAGCUACCGGGCACAGUCAGGACUGGCAUGGCCUGGAUUCGAUCUGCAACCUUGGGGCUCAUCCAGAGUGUUCCUGCAACACUCCUAGUUCAGUUCUUAUGGAAUGGACAUCAUAACGCUCUCUGUAGAAAGCUGCUGCAACGGACAGUGAGUCAUACUCAUUUCAUGAGACCAUUAUGAAUUAUUCAUCAUUGUAUUGAUAUGAUGCUUAACAGAAACAAGAAAGUGUAUGUGAGAGAAAGCCCUUGUCAAUAACAGGAUGUUCCCUUAGGAGAGCACCAGAGUGCUUUACUGUAUUAUUCACUUUGGACUGUCUGCAAAGUGAGGGAGAGAAAUGCAUCUUCCUGUAUUCUUUCUCCCAGUCAGUGGUAAAAUCACUCUUGGUGCUAAAGUCACAUGACUGCUGUGGGUAACUGUUGGCCUGAGUUGAGUUAGGGAAUGAGAAAUGAUGAUGGCUCAAAGAACAGGUCUGGAUUUGGCCCAGUUAGACUUGUGUUAAGUUGACUUUAAAGGAAAGGUGCAAU